UAACCAGUGUGGGCCAGUGAACCCAAGGAGUUCAUCCAGAGAGGUACUUGAAGCUGGGUGCCGUGAUGCAAGUGUAAUCCAGUGACUCAGGAGGCUGAGGCAGGAGGAUUGCAAGUUUGAGGCCAGCCUCAGCAACUUAGGCCCAGUUUCAAGAUAAAAAGAGCUGAGGAUGUAGCGCAGUGGUAGAGUUCAUCUGUGUUAGAUCCCCAGUGCCCCCCACACACAGAGAGAGAGAGAGAGUUGUACCUGAGUUAAGACCAUCUAUCAAUGGACCAUUAUGGGGCUCCACUUUAACUAAAGGACAAUCAUGGUGUUUGGGGUUUGAAGAACUGUCAAUUUACACACAGUGUUCAGGAAACCCCAGAAGGGCUGGGCAUAUCCUUUUCCCCAGCGUAGUCACCCUAAUAACUAGCUGCAAGUCCCUCUGGGAAGGCGUGGAAGAAGACUGAGAUUGUGUGUGUGCGCUGGGGAUGGAACUCGGGCCUGGCACAGGUGGGGCAGGCAAUCUGCCCUGAGCUGCACCCAGUCCAGUGGUGCCUGCUUUUGACAAUGAUGCCAGGUCCUUUCUCAGGAAAACCUGGUCUCGUCUUCAGGCAAAGUGUCUGCAAGGCUGUGAGCUGACCUGUCUGUAAACUGAGGGGCUGUGACUCUCUCCUGGCAAAUGACGUCAUGUCUUUGGCACUAGAACUAGAGCUUAUCUUAAUAGUCCACACACUGCUCAUUUAUUUAUUUUACCACUGACUUUGGCCUUACCUUUCCAAAUGAACACUAUUUUUGUUUGUUCUAGUUAGUUAUACAUAGCAGUAGAAUGCACUUUGACACAUCAUACAUAGAUGGAGUAUAACUUAUCAUUUUUCCGGUUGUACAUGAUGUAGAAUGACACCAGUCAUGUAGUCAUAUAUGCACAUGGGAUAAUAAUACACUAUUUUAAAAAAAUUUUUGGAGUUGUAGAGGGACAGAAUGCCUUUGUUUAUUUUUAUUUUUAUGUGGUGCUAAGGAUUGAACCCAGUGCCUUGUGUGGGCUAGGCAAGCAGUCUGCUACAGAGGUACAGCCCCACUAUUUUUUUUUCACUUUUUAAAAUAUGUUCUUUUUAGUUAUGCAUGACAAUAGAUUGUAUUUUAACAUAUUAUACAUACGUGGAGAAUAACUUCC
rnacentral:lncRNA from 1 species